UUAUCAAUGGAAUUAAUUUAACUUUAAAUAUCAAAAAAUUAGUAAAACAUGUUAACAACCAUAUACUGUAGUUUUGUAGCAAACAAUAUUGUAACAACGUGUUAAUGACAUUGUAGCUUUAGAGCAUGAAAUACAUCUAUGUAAAAAAUCAGUUUUUAACUAAAUGCAAGUCAAUUCUUGUGAAAAUACUUGUAACUAAACAAUCCUCAAGGAAAAUACGGCAACCGAUACUUUUAGCGCAGACUUUAACUAGUUAUUAACUAAUAAUAUUAACUGUAUCUAUGGUUACAAGUAUUACUAGUUUUUAUGGUUACAAGUAUUAGUAGUUAGUUUCUAAUUAAUUUUCAAAAGGAUGCAAUUUAUUGAUCUUAGACUAUCGCUACCGGCUAAAUCAACUCUGAAAUAAAAUAUAUUCUUAUAAUUUCAACUAUUGCAACCUUAACUGGAUUACAUUUAUGUAACUAUAAAUCUUUCAUUUGCACAUGAGUUGGUUCUGCACUAAAACGUCAUUGAUGAAGUCUUCUUAGAAAAAAACGUCAUUUAUGAGAAGUUUUUUUAAACCAACAAAUAUAAAAACAAUUGGUGGUUUUGUGGGCUAUCCUCCUCCGGCUUUCUAUAUAGAGACUGCAUACUAAGGCCCGCGAAGACGGGUUCAGCUCGUUAAAGGGAAAUCCUCUUUCUACUUACCAAGAGUAAGUGAGUUUAAGAACAAUGAAGGAUGGUAGAAUGAAAUUCUGAAGAAGUCGAGUUAAAUAGAUAGCUAAGAGAAAUCGGACAGAUAUUGCACCGGAUGUUAGAAUGUGCAAUUAUAUAUUAAUCAGUUACAAAUAAUUUUAAUGUUGCAAACUAUAAUAAUUUGACUAUUUAAACAAUCCAAUUGGUAGUUUUGUUCGUAAAGAUUUUCAUCAAAUUUAAAUCUAGUAUGUGGCUGUUGUUGAGUGUUUUUUCAAAUUUUUAUUUUACAUAUUGCGGUCUUAUAUACUUUUGUAUUAAAUAUUUUGGCGUUAAAUAUUUAUAUAUAUUCUUAGUGACUUUAUAUAUUUUUAUAAUAUAUAUUGCUAU